GAUGAACGCUGGCGGCGUGCCUAAUACAUGCAAGUCGAGCGAACAGACGAGGAGCUUGCUCCUCUGACGUUAGCGGCGGACGGGUGAGUAACACGUGGAUAACCUACCUAUAAGACUGGGAUAACUUCGGGAAACCGGAGCUAAUACCGGAUAAUAUAUUGAACCGCAUGGUUCAAUAGUGAAAGACGGUUUUGCUGUCACUUAUAGAUGGAUCCGCGCCGCAUUAGCUAGUUGGUAAGGUAACGGCUUACCAAGGCGACGAUGCGUAGCCGACCUGAGAGGGUGAUCGGCCACACUGGAACUGAGACACGGUCCAGACUCCUACGGGAGGCAGCAGUAGGGAAUCUUACGCAAUGGGCGAAAGCCUGACGGAGCAACGCCGCGUGAGUGAUGAAGGUCUUCGGAUCGUAAAACUCUGUUAUUAGGGAAGAACAAAUGUGUAAGUAACUAUGCACGUCUUGACGGUACCUAAACAGAAAGCCACGGCUAACUACGUG
rnacentral:rRNA from 1 species